GAUGAACGCUAGCUACAGGCUUAACACAUGCAAGUCGAGGGGCAGCAUGGUCUUAGCUUGCUAAGGCCGAUGGCGACCGGCGCACGGGUGAGUAACACGUAUCCAACCUGCCGUCUACUCUUGGACAGCCUUCUGAAAGGAAGAUUUAAAUACAAGAUGGCAUCAUGAGUCCGCAUGUUCACAUGAUUAAAGGUAUUCCGGUAGACGAUGGGGAUGCGUUCCAUUAGAUAGUAGGCGGGUAACGGCCCACCUAGUCUUCGAUGGAUAGGGGUUCUGAGAGGAAGGUCCCCCCACAUUGGAACUGAGACACGGUCCAAACUCCUACGGGAGCAGCAGUGAGGAAUAUUGGUCAAUGGGCGAGAGCCUGAACCAG
rnacentral:rRNA from 1 species